GAGGAGAGAUGGAGGAAGAGGAGGAGAGAUGGAGGAAGAGAGGUGGAGGAAGAGGAGGAGAGAUGGAGGAAGAGGUGGACUAUAGACCCAGUAAAGGUCUGGAUGGACAGAGAUGGAGGAAGAGGAGGACUAGAAAGGACUCAUAAUGACAGCGCCUCCACUUCCACCUCCAGUUCUCUGUGUUUACAGGGUAAGCUAUGAGCACUACCUCCUGGGCCAUUAAGACCUGGACCCCUUGGCAGAGGCUCUACCUGUUACAGAACAGGGUGGUUACUGUACAACAGUACUGUAUAACAGAACAGGGUGGUUACUGUACAACAGUACUGUAUUACAGAACAGGGUGGUUACUGUACAACAGUACUGUAUAACAGAACAGGGUGGUUACUGUACAACAGUACUGUAUAACAGAACAGGGUGGUUACUGUACAACAGUACUGUAUAACAGAACAGGGUGGUUACUGUACAACAGUACUGUAUAACAGAACAGGGUGGUUACUGUACAACAGUACUGUAUUACAGAACAGGGCACCUGGCUGAACUGUGGGACAAACAGAGGUUUGUGUUGCAGGUGUGAGGUUGCUAGCUAGUAAACAUUAUCCCACCGUGGAACAAAGUGAUGUCACUUGCCCUGACACCUGAGGCAGUGUCUGCCUCGCCCAACCAAGGCCAUGGGCUGUGUCCCAAAUGGCAACCUAUUCCCUAUAUACUGUACAAAGGGCUCUGGUCAAAAGUAGUGCACUACAUAGGGAAUAGGUUGCCAUUUGGAAUACAGUCGUUCAGUCUUCAUGACCUAUAGCCUUUGUACAUGGACCACUGCCACCAGGGGGAACCUUCUUUUAACAGCUCUUUUGUAGCACUACAGACUAUUAAGACUGUAACACACACUGUAACACACAGUCACCCACCGGCCAGCACAUGCAAAACAAUAAACAAUGCUCUUUCGGACUCCAUUGGACUAUUAAACAUGGAGAAGGGUGAAGUUGCCCCUAGAAACUGAUCUUGAUUCAGUUUAACAUUGUCCCCCACUAAUGGUUAAGGUUAGGAUUGGGGGAGGGGGAAGCUGAUCCUAGAUCUGUACCUAGGGGAUUCUGGAGCAAGAACACACUGGAACACUUUGAAUACUUUAUUUGGAUCCACAGUCUGAGCAUCAAGAAAGAAAAUAACCCAAUAUAGAGAUCAAAGGUCACAUUGAUUCAUACCAUCAUAGAGAUGUUAAGAGAUCACAACAUUGUAUCUGUCCCAUUAUGGCGUCUGUGAGCGCACAGGCACCACCACUGUGGCCAUCUCCAUUUUGAAGUAGUUCAUUUUCUUAUUUUACUACUUCUAUGAGUUGGUAAACAAACUGGAAGGGUGCAUACUACCACCUGGAGUGUGUUAUUUAAACAGGUAUAAAGCCAAGGUUGGCAAUUCACUGCCACCUGCAGUUAUGGAAUGUUUGCUCACCAGUAUAAUUCAUUGGCUGAUGACCUCGAUGGAAUUAUGUGAUCCUUCCUUAACCCACAGGAAGUCCCACCCAGUUGACUACUUCAAAAUGGUGAAAGUCCUCAAUGUUACUGCCCAUGUUAAAACAGGCUUUUGGGCACACUAAAAUAGAUAGAUAGUCUUCUAUCUAUCUUGAUGGGACUUAUAGGCUGUCUCCCAAUGGGCCCUGGUCAAAAGAAGUUCACUACAUAGAGAAUAGGGUGCCAUUCUGGUCAAAAGAAGGGCACUACAUAAGGAAUAGGGUGCCAUUUGGGACUCAGACAUGGACAUACAGGUGUUGGUGUAUGUAUAUUUCAUAUCUAAGAGACAUUUGUAACCCAAGACUCGUCUGGAGCUGCAUUCAACUGGUCUUUUUUUCUUCCAUUUUUGUCGGAAUUGAAAAAAAAAUGCAAAAAGAGAGGAACCUUAUGUACCCUGAUGUCACAGCCCAUCCUUUACCCUGAGGUCACAGCCCAUCCUUUACCCUGAGGUCACAGCCCAUCCUUUACCCUGAGGUCACAGCCUAUCCUUUACCCUGAGGUCACAGCCCAUCCUUUACCCUGAGGUCAUUGUCCAUCCUUUACCCUGAGGUCACAGCCCAUCCUUUACCCUGAGGUCACAGCCCAUCCUUUACCCUGAGGUCACAGCCCAUCCUUUACCCUGAGGUCACAGCCCAUCCUUUACCCUGAGGUCACAGCCCAUCCUUUACCCUGAGGUCACAGCCCAUCCUUUACCCUGAGGUCACAGCCCAUCCUUUACCCUGAGGUCACAGCCCAUCCUUUACCCUGAGGUCACAGCCCAUCCUUUACCCUGAGGUCACAGCCCAUCCUUUACACUGAGGUCACAGCCCAUCCUUUACCCUGAGGUCAUUGUCCAUCCUUUACCCUGAGGUCAUUGUCCAUCCUUUACCCUGAGGUCAUGGUCCAUCCUUUACCCUGAGGUCACAGCCCAUCCUUUACCCUGAGGUCACAGCCCAUCCUUUACCCUGAGGUCACAGCCCAUCCUUUACCCUGAGGUCACAGCCCAUCCUUUACCCUGAGGUCACAGCCCAUCCUUUACCCUGAGGUCACAGCCCAUCCUUUACCCUGAGGUCACAGCCCAUCCUUUACCCUGAGGUCAUUGUCCAUCCUUUACCCUGAGGUCACAGCCCAUCCUUUACCCUGAGGUCACAGCCCAUCCUUUACACUGAGGUCACAGCCCAUCCUUUACCCUGAGGUCAUUGUCCAUCCUUUACCCUGAGGUCACAGCCCAUCCUUUACCCUGAGGUCACUGUCCAUCCUUUACCCUGAGGUCAUUGUCCA